rnacentral:rRNA from 1 species
AUUGAACGCUGGCGGCAGGCCUAACACAUGCAAGUCGAGCGGAGCGGCGGACGGGUGAGUAAUGCCUAUGACUCUGCAUGGUAGUGGGGGAUAACGUCCGGAACCGGGCGCUAAUACCGCAUACUAUCAGAUGAGCCUAGGCCGGAGUAGCUAGUUGGUGGGGUAAGGGCCUACCAAGGCGACGAUCCGUAACUGGUCUGAGAGGAUGAUCAGCAACACUGGAACUGAGACACGGUCCAGACUCCUACGGGAGGCAGCAGUGGGGAAUAUUGGACAAUGGGCGCAAGCCUGAUCCAGCCAUGCCGCGUGUGUGAAGAAGUUCUUCGGAUUGUAAAGCACUUUAAGUUGGGAGGCGUUACCAACAGAAUAAGCACCGGCUAACUUCGUGCCAGCAGCCGCGGUAAUUC